GACGAACGCUGGCGGCGUGCUUAACACAUGCAAGUCGAACGGAAAGGCCCUGCUUUUGUGGGGUGCUCGAGUGGCGAACGGGUGAGUAACACGUGAGUAACCUGCCCUUGACUUUGGGAUAACUUCAGGAAACUGGGGCUAAUACCGGAUAGGAGCUCCUGCUGCAUGGUGGGGGUUGGAAAGUUUCGGCGGUUGGGGAUGGACUCGCGGCUUAUCAGCUUGUUGGUGGGGUAGUGGCUUACCAAGGCUUUGACGGGUAGCCGGCCUGAGAGGGUGACCGGCCACAUUGGGACUGAGAUGCGGCCCAGACUCCUACGGGAGGCAGCAGUGGGGAAUAUUGCACAAUGGGCGGAAGCCUGAUGCAGCAACGCCGCGUGCGAGAUGACGGCCUUCGGGUUGUAAACCGCUUUCGCCUGUGACGAAGCGUGAGUGACGGUAAUGAGUAAAGAAGCACCGGCUAACUACG
rnacentral:rRNA from 1 species